GACGAACGCUGGCGGCGUGCUUAACACAUGCAAGUCGAGCGGUAAGGCCCUUUCGGGGGUACGACGAGCGGCGAACGGGUGAGUAACACGUGGGUGACCUGCCCUCAGUUCUGGGAUAAGCCUGGGAAACCGGGUCUAAUACUGGAUAUGACCUCAUGACGCAUGUUGUGGGGUGGAAAGCCUUGUGCGACUGAGGAUGGGCCCGCGGCCUAUCAGCUUGUUGGUGGGGUGAUGGCCUACCAAGGCGACGACGGGUAGCCGGCCUGAGAGGGCGACCGGCCACACUGGGACUGAGACACGGCCCAGACUCCUACGGGAGGCAGCAGUGGGGAAUCUUGCGCAAUGGGCGAAAGCCUGACGCAGCGACGCCGCGUGAGGGAUGACGGCCCUCGGGUUGUAAACCUCUUUCAGCUCCGACGAAGCGAAAGUGACGGUAGGAGCAGAAGAAGCACCGGCCAACUACGUGCCA
rnacentral:rRNA from 1 species